AGCGAACGCUGGCGGCAGGCUUAACACAUGCAAGUCGAACGGUCCUUCGGGAUAGUGGCGGACGGGUGAGUAACACGUGGGAACGUACCCUUAGGUUCGGAACAACACAGGGAAACUUGUGCUAAUACCGGAUAAGCCCUUCGGGGGAAAGAUUUAUCGCCUUUGGAGCGGCCCGCGUCUGAUUAGCUUGUUGGUGAGGUAAUGGCUCACCAAGGCUACGAUCAGUAGCUGGUCUGAGAGGAUGGCCAGCCACACUGGGACUGAGACACGGCCCAGACUCCUACGGGAGGCAGCAGUGGGGAAUCUUGCGCAAUGGGCGAAAGCCUGACGCAGCCAUGCCGCGUGGAUGAUGAAGGUCUUAGGAUUGUAAAAUCCUUUCACCGGGGACGAUAACGACGGUACCCGGAGAAGAAGCCCCGGCUAACUUCGUGCCAGCAGCCGCAGUAA
rnacentral:rRNA from 1 species